GACUACCGGGGUAUCUAAUCCCAUUCGCUCCCCACGCUUUCGUCUCUCAGCGUCAGAACCGUUCCAGUAGAAAGCUUUCGCAUUUGGUGUUCUUGCCGAUAUUAACGGAUUUUACCCCUACACCGGCAAUUCCAUCUACCUCUUCCGGCCUCUAGCCUGAUAGUUUCAAACGCGGUCCUGGGGUUGAGCCCCAGGAUUUAACGCCUGACUUUCCAGGCCGCCUACAGACGCUUUACGCCCAAUAAAUCCGGAUAACGCUUGGGGCACUCGUAUUACCGCUGCUGCUGGCACGAGUUUAGCAGCCCCUUAUUCACCAAGUACCGUCAAAAGUUCUUCCUUGGUAAAAGACUUUUACACCCCGAAGGGCUUCUUCGGUCACGCGGCGUCGCUGCAUCAGACUUUCGUCCAUUGUGCAAGAUUCUCGACUGCAGCCCCCCGUAGG
rnacentral:rRNA from 1 species